UGUUGGUUCUUGGUUCUUGCAUGGAGGUGAGUAACCAUGAGGUGAGCAAUUAUGGGCUGCAAACGUUGCUGCUGCCCAUCACCUGGUCCAAUUCAAGCACACCCAGUAGGCUGCCUUGAAUAAAGGAGUUCUCAAAGAUGAUGUCUUUUAGCACGACCAUUUUAUUGAUUUAGUUUCUGUACAAUUUUGGGGCAUCCAAACUUGGAAAGUUUCAUCCUCCAAGUUAAAUUGGGACAAUCCAUUCAUUAAUUUCAGCAAAAAAUAUUGGUACUGUUCUUCCCAUUUUUAUUCACAUUUGUAAAAAUAUAGGUUUAAUGAUGGCUCUGCAAUUUUCCUAUUAGUAUGCAUGAUUUUUCUUUUUGAUUGCUCACCCUGGUACUUUUUUCAGUAAGAUCAUAAAUGACAAUUAUAACGGUGGUGAUUUUUACCACCAAUUCCUUGUUUUUCACUUCUCUCACACUCAUGAUAGGUUGAUAUAUAUUUUCAGUUAUCUAUACAUCUUCAGUAUGUUGAUGUAGCCCCAAUCCCAUGAUACAAUCAAUGCAUUUUCUGCAGCCCAUCUCAUGCAGGCAGAUGGGGCGAUACAUUCAUGAGCUUGCCACUAUGCUUAGUUAGCUUGUUCAACUUCUCUUGUGAGAUCAAAUUACUUUGAUGUGAAUUUUCACAGCUCUUUGUGCUCUUUCCUUCUUGCUGAACCAAUGUUUCCUCAUUAAAUUACUUUACUAGGAUGUUUUCUUUAGAAUUUUCAGACAUUACUUGCAAAAGCAUGCUCAUUAAACUUUCUUAGCGUAAAAGGUCCAGAACUGAUAAACAUGUAUGUUGGAGAGUCAGAGAGGAAUAUCAGGGACAUCUUUGAGAAGGCUAGAUCAGCACGCCCAUGAGUAAUUUUCUUCGAUGAGCUUGAUUCCCUUGCUCCUGCACGAGGGUCCUCUGCAGAUUCUGGAGAUGUGAUGGAUAAAUGGUUUCUCAGCACAAAUGCCCGACGGAGAUGCAUAUGUUUGGCAUUCUAUCAGUAAACAUACACGUGCGCUGGCUUGCAGUACUACAUUUUGUGAUUGUGUCAUAUGCACACCACUACUAAUGCUUAAGUCCGUUGCCUUGUCGUGUAAUUGUGUCAUAUGCACACCAAUACUAAUGCUCUAUGCUCUCGCCUGAGAGCACGUGUUGUGCUUUGUAUCAUCUA